AUUAUGUCCUUCUAAUCCUUUUCCUCCUUUUUUUUAUUUGUUGAAAAAUGCAUAAGUCUUCAAAUAUUUCUUAAAUUGAAUUUAUGUUAUAGGCUAACAAUAUCAGUAAAACUUUUGUGCUCUAAAAAUUUAAUAUCAAAAAGUGGAUCACAUUUCUCAUGCACAAAAGUUGGCAUCACACAAAUUUUCCUUUUCUUUUUACCAUACUUUUCUCAUUUUCGCACGUGUGAAUCGCACGCUCCAAAGACAAGGUCCCAAAGCACGCACUUGAUCCGUGUCAAGCAUACAAUUAGACACGUUUGGCUUCCUUCACACGCGUGAAAAACCCUAGCUUUCGCAUGCUCGCCGGAAAAUUUCUCUCGCCGGAACACAUAAAUAUCUUCUAUUCGCCGGAAAAAUCCUCUCGCCACUAUUCUCCGGCCAAUUCGACGGAAUAACUGUUAUGUGAUCGGAAAAACUUCCGGCUUCGGUGCAUGUCUUACAACAAUUAGAUGCGAAACGAGACCUCUGGAGCUGAAGAGCCAAGCUUCAGUAAUCAUAUCA